CCCUACGGGGCGCAGCAGGUGCGAAAACUUUACAAUGCGAGAAAUCGUGAUAAGGGAACCCCGAGUGCCCGUAAAUUCGGGCUGUUAAUCUGUGUAAAAAGCAGGUGGAGAAAGGGCCGGGCAAGACCGGUGCCAGCCGCCGCGGUAAUACCGGCGGCUCGAGUGGUGGCCACUAUUACUGGGCUUAAAGCGUCCGUAGCUGGAUUGUUAAGUCUCUUGGGAAAUCUACCGGCUUAACCGAUAGGCGUUCAAGGGAUACUGGCAAUCUAGGGACCGGGAGAGGUGAGAGGUACUCCAGGGGUAGGAGUGAAAUCCUGUAAUCC
rnacentral:rRNA from 1 species